rnacentral:rRNA from 1 species
UACGGGGGGAGCAAGCGUUGUUCGGAUUUACUGGGCGUAAAGGGCGCGUAGGCGGUCAGCACAAGUCAGUUGUGAAAUCUCCGGGCUUAACCCGGAAAGGUCAACUGAUACUGUGCGACUAGAGUGCGGAAGGGGCAACUGGAAUUCUCGGUGUAGCGGUGAAAUGCGUAGAUAUCGAGAGGAACACCUGCGGCGAAGGCGGGUAGCUGGGCCGACACUGACGCUGAGGCGCGAAAGCCAGGGGAGCGAACGGG